UACGGAGGGCGCGAGCGUUGUCCGGAAUCAUUGGGCGUAAAGGGCGCGUAGGUGGCCCGGUCAGUUCGUGGUGAAAGCGCGGGGCUCAACUCCGCGUCGGCCAUGAAUACUGCUGGGCUUGAGCACUGUAGAGGCAGGCGGAAUUCCGGGUGUAGCGGUGGAAUGCGUAGAGAUCCGGAAGAACACCGGUGGCGAAGGCGGCCUGCUGGGCAGUAGCUGACACUGAGGCGCGACAGCGUGGGGAGCAAACAGG
rnacentral:rRNA from 1 species